rnacentral:rRNA from 1 species
CCUACGGGAGGCAGCAGUGAGGAAUAUUGGUCAAUGGGCGCAAGCCUGAACCAGCCAUGCCGCGUGCAGGAAGACGGCCUUAUGGGUUGUAAACUGCUUUUACAUAAGACUAACCGUAUAUUUGCGAAUAUACCUGAAUGUAUUAUGAGAAUAAGGAUCGGCUAACUCCGUGCCAGCAGCCGCGGUAAU